rnacentral:rRNA from 1 species
UCGAGAAUCUUCCACAAUGGACGAAAGUCUGAUGGAGCGACGCCGCGUGACUGAUGAAGUCCUUCGGGACGUAAAGGUCUUUUAUGGGGGAGGAAGUAAUUGACGUUACCCCAUGAAUAAGGGGCUCCUAACUCUGUGCCAGCAGGAGCGGUAAUACAGAGGCCCCAAGCGUUAUCCGGAAUCACUGGGCGUAAAGGGUGUGUAGGCGGCUAUGUUAGUCCUUCGUUAAAGCUUUCUGGCUUAACCAGGAAAAUGCGGAGGAAACGGCAUUGGCUUAGAGGGCGCGAGAGGUAUACGGAACUCAUAGUGUAGGGGUGAAAUCCGUUGAUAUUAUGGGGAACACCAAAUGCGAAGGCAGUAUACUGGCGCGUACCUGACGCUGAAACACGAAAGCGUGGGAAUCGAACGGGAUUAGAUACCCGUGUAGUCC